rnacentral:rRNA from 1 species
GACGAACGCUGGCGGCGUGCUUAACACAUGCAAGUCGAACGGAAAGGCCCUGCUUUUGUCGGGUGCUCGAGUGGCGAACGGGUGAGUAACACGUGAGUCACCUUCCCUUUACUUUGUGAUAUCUUCAGGAAACUGCGGCUAAUGCCGGCUACCAGCUCCUGCUGCAUGGUGGUGUUUGGACAUUUUCGUCUGUUGUGGAUUGACUCCCGGCUUAUCAGCUUGUUGGUUGGGGAGUGGCUUACCAAGGCUUUGACGGGUAGGCGACCUGAGAGGGUGACCAGGGACAAUGGGACUAAGAUAAGGAGCAGAGUGGUACAGGCGGCAAAAGUGGGGAAUAUUACAAAAUGAGGGGAAGCAUGAUGAAGAAAAGGAGCGUGCGGGAAGACGGCCUUCGGGGUGAAAAGCGCGUUAGGGUGUGACGAAGCGUGAGUGACGUUAAUGGGAAAAGAAGCACCGGCUAACUACGUG